GGUGCCCCUAGAGGUGUUGCAGGCAUGGCUGAAGUGCUGUGUUUGUGUCAUUAGGUGGCAGAGAGGAACAGGCUAUGUCUACGCUCUGUGCUCUGGGAAAAUAAAAUUUGUGGGCACUUAGAAUGAUUUGUAGCCUGACAAA